rnacentral:rRNA from 1 species
GAUGAACGCUAGCUACAGGCUUAACACAUGCAAGUCGAGGGGCAGCAUGGGCUUAGCUUGCUAAGGCCGAUGGCGACCGGCGCACGGGUGAGUAACGCGUAUCCAACCUGCCUUACACUCUUGGACAGCCUUCUGAAAGGGAGAUUAAUACAAGAUGUUAUCAUGAGUAAGCAUUUUCGCAUGAUUAAAGGUUUACCGGUGUAAGAUGGGGAUGCGUUCCAUUAGAUAGUAGGCGGGGUAACGGCCCACCUAGUCUUCGAUGGAUAGGGGUUCUGAGAGGAAGGUCCCCCACAUUGGAACUGAGACACGGUCCAAACUCCUACGGGAGGCAGCAGUGAGGAAUAUUGGUCAAUGGACGAGAGUCUGAACCAGCCAAGUAGCGUGAAGGAUGAAGGUUCUAUGGAUUGUAAACUUCUUUUAUACGGGAAUAAACGAAUCCACGCGUGGAUUUUUGCAUGUACCGUAUGAAUAAGGAUCGGCUAACUCCGUGCCAGCAGCCGCGGUAAUACGGAGGAUCCGAGCGUUAUCCGGAUUUAUUGGGUUUAAAGGGAGCGUAGAUGGGUUGUUAAGUCAGUUGUGAAAGUUUGCGGCUCAACCGUAAAAUUGCAAUUGAUACUGGCAGUCUUGAGUACAGUUGAGGUAGGCGGAAUUCGUGGUGUAGCGGUGAAAUGCUUAGAUAUCACGAAGAACUCCGAUCGCGAAGGCAUAUGUCCGGAGUGCAACUGACGCUGAGGCUCGAAAGUGUGGGUAUCANACAGG